CCUACGGGAGGCAGCAGUGAGGAAUAUUGCCCAAUGGGGGCAACCCUGAUGCAGCAACGCCGCGUGAACGAUGAAGGCCUUCGGGUUGUAAAGUUCUUUUCUGAGGGACGAUAAUGACGGUACCUCAGGAAUAAGUCCCGGCUAACUACGUGCCAGCAGCCGCGGUAAU
rnacentral:rRNA from 1 species